UACGUAGGGUGCGAGCGUUGUCCGGAAUUAUUGGGCGUAAAGGGCUCGUAGGCGGUUUGUCGCGUCGGGAGUGAAAACGCCGGGCUUAACUCGGUGCUUGCUUUCGAUACGGGCAGACUAGAGGCAUGCAGGGGAGAACGGGAUUCCUGGUGUAGCGGUGAAAUGCGCAGAUAUCAGGAGGAACACCGGUGGCGAAGGCGGUUCUCUGGGCAUGUCCUGACGCUGAGGAGCGAAAGUGUGGGGAGCGAACAGG
rnacentral:rRNA from 1 species